rnacentral:rRNA from 1 species
CUACGGGUGGCUGCAGUGAGGAAUAUUGGACAAUGGGUGAGAGCCUGACCCAGCCAUCCCGCGUGAAGGACGACUGCCCUAUGGGUUGUAAACUUCUUUUGUACAGGGAUAAACCUACUCUCGUGAGGGUAGCUGAAGGUACUGUACGAAUAAGCACCGGCUAACUCCGUGCCAGCAGCCGCGGUAAUACGGAGGGUGCAAGCGUUAUCCGGAUUUAUUGGGUUUAAAGGGUCCGUAGGCGGGCUUAUAAGUCAGUGGUGAAAUCCGACAGCUUAACUGUCGAACUGCCAUUGAUACUGUAGGUCUUGAGUGUAGUUGAGGUAGCUGGAAUAAGUAGUGUAGCGGUGAAAUGCACAGAUAUUACUUAGAACACCAAUUGCGAAGGCAGGUUACCAAGUUACAACUGACGCUGAUGGAUGAAAGCGUGGGUAGCGAACAGGAUUAGAUACCCGUGUAGUC